CGUGUAGGCGGACGCGUAAGUCCGGUGUAAAAGCCCCUGGCUCAACCAGGGAAGGCCAUCGGAUACUGCGUGUCUUGAGUGCGGGAGGGGAGAGUGGAACUCUUGGUGGAGCGGUGAAAUGCGUAGAUAUCAAGAGGAACGCCGGUGGCGAAAGCGGCUCUCUGGCCCGUUACUGACGCUGAGGCGCGAAAGCUAGGGGAGCAAACGGGAUUAGAUACCCCGGUAGUCCUAGCCCUAAACGAUGGGUACUAAGUAGGGGCGACUCCGAUGUUGUCUCUGCUGUAGCCAACGUGCUAAGUACCCCGCCUGGGGAGUACGGUCGCAAGGCUGAA
rnacentral:rRNA from 1 species